AUGGGUUCCGGACACAAACCUGAUGGUGACUUCACUCAUGUAUCUUAUUUUAGGUUUUUGAAAUUUUUGAAUAAAAUUCAAAAACAUUUUGAUCCUCUACCAUUUAUGGUAGGAAUAGACAAUGAUGCACCUAAUUGUUAUGGUGUUACGAACUAUGAAGAUAGAAAAAGAAGUAAUGGAUAUUCUAUUCAAUUUGGAGGACCGGGUGGUAAAUGUAGUAAUUAA